GGCCAAUCAAACCGGGAGAUAGCUGGUUCUCCCCGAAAGCUAUUUAGGUAGCGCCUCGUGAACUCAUCUUCGGGGGUAGAGCACUGUUUCGGCUAGGGGGUCAUCCCGACUUACCAACCCGAUGCAAACUACGAAUACCGAAGAAUGUUAUCACGGGAGACACACGGCGGGUGCUAACGUCCGUCGUGAAGAGGGAAACAACCCAGACCGCCAGCUAAGGUCCCAAAGUCAUGGUUAAGUGGGAAACGAUGUGGGAAGGCACAGACAGCCAGGAUGUUGGCUUAGAAGCAGCCAUCAUUUAAAGAAAGCGUAAUAGCUCACUGGUCGAGUCGGCCUGCGCGGAAGAUGUAACGGGGCUAAACCAUGCACCGAAGCUGCGGCAGCGACACUAUGUGUUGUUGGGUAGGGGAGCG
rnacentral:rRNA from 1 species